AUUGAACGCUGGCGGCAGGCCUAACACAUGCAAGUCGAGGGGUAACGAGAGGGAAGCUUGCUUUCCUUGUCGACGACCGGCGCACGGGUGAGUAACGCGUAUCCAACCUGCCCCCAACUAGGGAAUAACCUUGCGAAAGUAAGACUAAUACCCUAUAAUUUCCUCAGAUGUCAUCUGACGAGGAAUAAAGAUUUAUCGGUUGUGGAUGGGGAUGCGUCUGAUUAGCUUGUUGGCGGGGUAACGGCCCACCAAGGCAACGAUCAGUAGGGGUUCUGAGAGGAAGGUCCCCCACAUUGGAACUGAGACACGGUCCAAACUCCUACGGGAGGCAGCAGUGAGGAAUAUUGGUCAAUGGGCGGAAGCCUGAACCAGCCAAGUAGCGUGCAGGAUGACGGCCCUAUGGGUUGUAAACUGCUUUUAUACAGGAAUAAAGUUAGCCACGUGUGGUUAUUUGUAGGUACUGUAUGAAUAAGGACCGGCUAAUUCCGUGCCAGCAGCCGCCGUAA
rnacentral:rRNA from 1 species